rnacentral:misc_RNA from 1 species
GCUCCGUUGGUGAACCAGCGGAGGGAUCAUUACAGGACUCGCAAGACACCUACAACCCUGUGAACUUAACUAUAAGCACGUUGCUUCGGCGGGUGUCUCGGAGGGGGUUCUCCCUCCCCGAGACGCUAAACCCGCCGGCAGCCUACUAUACUCUGUCUCUUUGCGUUGGCAUCUCGAGUACAAUCAAACAAGUUAAAACUUUCAACAACGGAUCUCUUGGUUCUG